UUGAACACAACGUAGCAUUCGAACUGAAAAGUAUUUUAAGGUACUCACAUAUUUACUAUCAAAUACCUGUCACACCUGAGACAGGUAUAACCAUGCCCCUUAGCAAUGGCCAAUUAGUCUCCUCCUCCCUUAGCUACCAUCAUAGCAGAUGUCUCCUCCCCUUAGCAAUGGCCAAGCAGCCUCUUUCUCCUUCCUUAGCAACCAUCAUAGCAGAUGGCACCUCCCCUUAGCAACGGUGGUAGCAACGGCCAAGCAGUCUCCUCCCUUUAGCAACUGGCAUGGGCAGGGCCACAAGAGAUGGCUAGGCCCACUUCCUCGCCACUCAGUUUGGCUUGACAGAAUGCUGCCAUGCUGUUCAGAUGCUCCCCUAGUGAUUCCUACAAUUCAAAAGUUGCUGUAUUCCAGAGAUUCUGAAAGAACUACAUAUUCUUAAAGUGAAAAGAAAGUACAAGACUUUUGCACUGCACAGGUCAUCUCUUCCUGCAUAAUCCUCUCCAUACAGUCAGGUCCUCUGAGGAAUGUUCGUUUACUCCAAUCAGCCAGUACUAGAUCGCCCAGAAGAUCUUUUCUUCAGCUACCUCUAGAUUGUGAAAUGACUUGCCGGAAAAGAUUCAACAUCUAAAUACUCUGUCUGAACUUAAAGCAGCAUUAAAGAUCACACUCUCCCAAAAGGCCAAUCCAGAUGAUUUAGUUUGAAUUUUAAAUUAUGUUUGUUUUAAUAUGUAUUGAUUGAAUAUAUAUACAAUAUUAACUGAUAUAUAUUUUAUAUACUGUUGUUCCCCACCUCAAUCCAUGGGAAGAGGUGGGUAAGAAAUGAUGAUGGUGAUGAUUAUUAUAAUUUACUAGAUGCUAAGAGAUUUUACUAAAACACAUAAAUAAAACCAUGUUUUAACACAUAAAAAUAUGACAGAGAAAAAUUAGUUUCAUCAAAGAAGAUUUCUCAGACUUGGAAGAGUGUCAGACAAGAAGAAAUCCUUUCAAGAU